rnacentral:misc_RNA from 1 species
GAUGAAGAACGUAGCGAAAUGCGAUAAAUAAUGUGAAUUGCAGAAUUCAGUGAAUCAUCGAGUCUUUGAACGCACAUUGCGCCCCCUGGUAUUCCGGGGGGCAUGCCUGUCCGAGCGUCAUUGCUGCCCUCAAGCACGGCUUGUGUGUUGGGCCCCCGUCCCCCCCUCCCGGGGGACGGGCCCGAAAGGCAGCGGCGGCACCGCGUCCGGUCCUCGAGCGUAUGGGGCUUUGUCACCCGCUCUGUAGGCCCGGCCGGCGCCUGCCGACCACCAUCAAUCUUUUUUCAGGUUGACCUCGGAUCAGGUAGGGAUACCCGCUGAACUUAAGCAUAUCAAUGAGCGGAGGA